AAGUCGUAACAAGGUUUCCGUAGGUGAACCUGCGGAAGGAUCAUUAAAGAGUUAGGGUCCAUAGCUGGCCCAACCUCCAACCUCAUGUUGUUAAACUACCUUGUUUGCGUUUGGCGGACCGUUCGGUCUCCGAGCGCGUUAACCCUCGGGUUGGCGAGCGCCCGCCAAAGUCCAACCAAACUCUUGUAUUAAACCAGUCGUCUGAGUAUAAAAUUUUAAUUAAAUUAAAA
rnacentral:misc_RNA from 1 species